rnacentral:rRNA from 1 species
AAUAGAUACCCCGGUAGUCCACGCCGUAAACGAUGGAUGCUAGCUGUUAUGCGUAUCGACCCGUGUAGUAGCGAAGCUAACGCGUUAAGCAUCCCGCCUGGGGAGUACGAACGCAAGUUUAAAACUCAAAGGAAUUGACGGGGACCCGCACAAGCGGUGGAGCGUGUUCUUUAAUUCGAGGCUAAGCGAAGAACCUUACCAGGGCUUGACAUCCUUGGAAUUUCUCCGAAAGGAGAGAGUACUUUAUUGGACCAAGUGACAGGUGCUGCAUGGCCGUCGUCAGCUCGUGUCGUGAGAUGUUUGGUUAAGUCCAUUAACGAGCGCAACCCUUAUGAAUAGUUGUAUUUUUCUAUUCAGACUGCCCCGGUAACGGGGAGGAAGGGGGGGAUGAUGUCAGGUCAGUAUUGCCCUUACGCCCUGGGCUAGAAACGCGCUACAAUGGCCGGUACAAUGCGCUGCCAACCCGCGAGGGGGAGCAAAUCGCAUCAAAGCCGGUCCCAGUUCGGAUAAGAGGCUGAAACUCGCCUCUUUGAAGCCGGAAUCGCUAGUAAUC